GAGAAAACUCCAGACCAAAAGA
rnacentral:snRNA from 1 species